UUCAUCUGCACCGGAUUGAAAAAGGAUUGAAAAGUCCGAGAAAAUUAAGCAACAGACUUAAUUUUUUCCCCUGCAAUCCUCCUGAAAUCCUCAAAAUAGAACCGACUGUUGCUGCAAAGCACCCCGAGCAAGCAGUGUGGUCGAAGACCUGGCAAACCCUGUCCUUCGAGAUGACUUCCCUCCCAGCACUAAGACUCGUGUUUGAAAAAGUGCAAUAUGGCUGAAAUCUGCAUCACGGUAUUGGAAAAACAGUAAUGAUAAUCACAUUAAGCAAACUGAUGUCGAGAAUAAACAUGCUCUGCCAUGCAUUAUUAAACAGCUAAGAGAGUCAUUGAUUACUCGAUCAAGUCAUCAAUCAAAACUAAUCAGGAACAAUUUGGUCACUGAAAAAUCAUUUAAAUUAUUUAAUGAUCAGAAGUUCCUCAGACUCUUGGCAGUUUGAUCCACUCCAGUUUUUGUCGCAGUUUUAUAUCGUUUUAAAGGUUUAAAUAAUGUGUGGUUUGAUCUCAAAUAAUAAUGAAAAUAAUAAAUGAUAACUGUCAUAAUCACAUCCUGCUAAAAAUGUCAACACAACUUUUAUAAGAACAAGAAUCAAGUGAAAGUUGAUUAACAAUAUUGAAUUAUGGCAAAGAAAUUAUAAUUAAAUCGCUAAAUGCAGCUCAAACUUAUAAACCCUACAAUGUUAGAUUUUACUAAGAACUGACCUUAUUUUUUCUGAACUUAACUUUCUGGUAUCUGUACUUGACCCCUCCUUUUUUGACUGACUCCCAAACCCAUAAAUAACAACACACAUGCAUCAUAUUCACUCCAGGUUUUCUUUAUAAAAUAAGUCAUCUCGUACUCUCACAUGGUUUUUGUAUUGUCAUACUCAAGAUAAGUAAAAUCCACGCCGUCAUACAUACAACUUCACAACAAACCUCUCUUGUACUCAGAGAAGCUCAAGUGUCAUAGAAGUUUAUAACACCGGCUCAUAUUCUCCAACAUUUAUCAUUCUGCUUCCCUCAGAUGAUAUUGAUCGUUUUUUUUAAUGUAUUGGAUCUAUGACAGCACUCACUGCAGCAGGCUCUGAUUGGCUCUACUGUAGAAAAGUGGCUAAUGAGGUUGGGUGUGCUUGUGGAGCCAUCCAGAUUUUAAAAAAAAACAAAAA